CAUGAAGAUCCUCUCAUGGAAUUGUCAAGAAGUGGUUAAGCCCUCUUUUGUCAAUUACACAAAAAAUCUUCUACAUCAGUAUAGUCCAUCAGUUUUGUGCUUCUUAGAAACCAGAUUAUCUACAAAUGCCAUGAUUCAUAUUAGAAGGAUAUUAGGGCCAAAAUGGGAUAUUUAUAUGAUUCUUUCGUAGGAUUGUCUAAGGGUAUUAGAAUAGCUUGGUUGAAGGGG
rnacentral:lncRNA from 1 species